rnacentral:misc_RNA from 1 species
CAGAGUUCAUGCCCGAAAGGGUAGACCUCCCACCCUUGUGUAUUAUUACUUUGUUGCUUUGGCGAGCUGCUCUUCGGGGGCCUUGUAUGCUCGCCAGAGAAUAUCAAAACUCUUUUUUAUUAAUGUCGUCUGAGUACUAUAUAAUAGUUUAA